AGUCACUGACAUUAGAUACCCGGGUAGUCCAGGGUGUAAACGCUGCAGACUUGGUGUUGGGAACCCUUCGGGGGUGCUCAGUGCCGGAGAGAAGUUGUUAAGUCUGCUACUUGGGGAGUACGUCCGCAAGGAUGAAAACUUAAAGGAAUUGGCGGGGGAGCACCGCAACGGGAGGAGCGUGCGGUUUAAUUGGAUUCAACGACCGAAAAACUCACCAGCAGCGACUGUUACAUGAAAGUCAGGUUGAUGACCUUACUAGAUUUUCAG
rnacentral:rRNA from 1 species